rnacentral:lncRNA from 1 species
GGUGGCGGUGGCAACUUACUCCGAAAAAAGCUUUAGGCAGCUUCUCAAAAUCAACUCGGAAAGUGUUGCAUGUUGUGUGGUUGGCGUGUGUCUGAGUUAUUUGAAAAGAAAUGAAUAUAAUUGUUUUAAGCAAAAGGCAUGUUUGAAUACAUCGGAGAGCACACAAUUCAUCAUCAAGAGCUUCCAAGAUUCAAAUAAAGACAUGAAUUUGUUAGAGAUGUCCUUUUUUAUAUUGUUAGGCGGGCAAAGGUAUCUACAAAGAAAAAAUGCGUCUGUGAACUUCUUCACCGACCCAC